UUGGGAAAUUUCAUCGUGAUGGGGAUAGAUCAUUGCAAUUGUUGGUCUUCAACGAGGAAUGCCUAGUAAGCGCGAGUCAUCAGCUCGCGUUGACUACGUCCCUGCCCUUUGUACACACCGCCCGUCGCUCCUACCGAUUGAAUGGUCCGGUGAAGUGUUCGGAUCGCGGCGACGGGGGCGGUUCGCCGCCCCCGACGUCGCGAGAAGUCCAUUGAACCUUAUCAUUUAGAGGAAGGAGAAGUCGUAACAAGGUUUCCGUAGGUGAACCUGCGGAAGGAUCAUU
rnacentral:rRNA from 1 species